rnacentral:lncRNA from 1 species
CAAAAGUUCACAUAAUUGAUCUGCUUAUGGACCAUCUUGUCUCUUACUAAUCUCUUAUUACUUGUGUUGUGAUAUCAUUUUACACUGGAAAUCAUGACCUACAGGCAGCAGCUGAAAGAUAGAAGGAUUCUGUGUGAACCACCAGUUAUUUAGGAGCUGGUAGGUGUUGGGGCUUUUUUCCUGAAACAGUAAUGAGUGCAGUCUGAUAGCUGAAGAAGAUAAAAUCUUGGCCGUAGCAGCAAAGUUUGUACAGUUUCUCCAGCCACAAGUGCCGUGAGCUGGUGAUAGCAGGCAAAUGUGGCUGCCAUCAUAUAUCUAUCUAUAUCUUCAGCCCCACAGAGCAAGGCUCCCUGGCAGAGAUUGGUAUUGCUUCUGAUCCAUGCACUUCCAAUAUUUGCUAGGAAUGGCAGUAUCUUGCUAGAAGGAUUAUACAAUGCUGCUAAUGACUAUUAAUUUGUUAAAGGAAUUAAGCAACUAGCCCUUAGGAUGAAGAUUUCAGGAAACCAGCAAAGUGCUUUGAACUGAAGAAGCACAGGACUUGAGAUGCACACAAUAUAAAAAGAAAGCAGUUAUGAUGCUAAGAGGGACAAUGCUGCCUACACCCAGGUGAAAUUACAAGAUGUUUGGCUGGGGAAUUGCAACAUAAAGGGAUUACUCACCACAAAGGAAAAUUCCAGAAGAGUUUUUCCAGAAAAAGCAGCAAAGAAGGCAUUAAAUUACAUGCUAUUUAUUUCUUUACUGUGAGGCCCUCAUGGUACCUUUACUCCAAGAAUUAUGCACUUAUGAUAUGACUCAAUAGCAACAAAUGGAAGACAUCAUGUCUAGCAGUGUGUAUAAUAGCGAAUUCAUCAUCUUCUCCAGCAUUCUAAAUGCCAUUCUUGCAGCAAGGAAUGAGGACAGGUCAGCAUCAUGGGCACUACUAAAGAACCAUCGAUAG